AAUGGCAGCUAGCGCUCUGCUACUCUCACAUGGUCGCCCACUGAAGCUAAGCAGGGCUGCGCCUGGUCAGUACCUGGAUGAGAGACCACAUGGGAAAGCCAGGUUGCCGCUGGAA
ensembl:rRNA 5S_rRNA 5S ribosomal RNA